rnacentral:rRNA from 1 species
UACGAAGGGGGCGAGCGUUGUUCGGAUUUACUGGGCGUAAAGGGCGCGCAGGCGGUUCUGUUUGUCGAGUGUGAAAGCCCCGGGCUCAACCUGGGAACUGCGCUCGAAACGGCGGAACUAGAGUUCGGGAGAGGAGAGUGGAAUUCCCAGUGUAGAGGUGAAAUUCGUAGAUAUUGGGAAGAACACCGGUGGCGAAGGCGGCUCUCUGGACCGAUACUGACGCUGAGGCGCGAAAGCAUGGGGAGCGAACAGG